rnacentral:lncRNA from 1 species
CUCCAGGUGGGCUCCUGACUGCUGAAACUUGAAAUGUAUUCUCUUGUUCUCCAGGUAGGUUCCUGAUUGCUGAACUCGAAAUGUAUUCCCUUGCUCUCCAGGUGGGCUCCUGACUGCUAAAACCCGAAUGUAUUCCCUUGUUCUCCAGGUGGGCUCCUGACUGCUGAAACUUGAAAUGUAUUCUCUUGUUCUCCAGGUAGGUUCCUGAUUGCUGAACUCGAAAUGUAUUCCCUUUCUCUCCAGGUGGGCUCCUGACUGCUAAAACUCGAAUGUAUUCCCUUGUUCUCCAGGUGGGCUCCUGACUGCUGAAAUUUCAACCAUCUUUCCUUGUUCUCCAGGUGGACGCCUGAUUUUUGAAACUUGGUCCAUCUUCUUCUUGAAACUGCUUUUCUUUGACUUG